UUGUGGAGGAGGACGCCGAAGGUGGGGCUAAUGACUGGGGUGAAGUCGUAACAAGGUAGCCGUACCGGAAGGUGCGGCUGGAUCACCUCCUAACAGGGAGACAACAAAAUGUUUAAUAUUAUUAUUUUGUCACCUUAGGUCGAUCGGUAUCUCACGUUCUUAAACUAAUUAAGAAUUUCAUUCCUAAGUUUUUCUAGGUCACACCCAUUAUUUUUCCUGGGCCAUUAGCUCAGGUGGUUAGAGCGCACCCCUGAUAAGGGUGAGGUCCCUGGUUCAAGUCCAGGAUGGCCCAUAUCUCUAUGUUGGGGGUAUAGCUCAGUUGGUAGAGCGCCUGCUUUGCAAGCAGGAUGUCAGCAGUUCGAGUCCGCUUACCUCCACUGAUUACACCUCUUCCAUAAUCUGUAGAAAGGGAAUUUUUUGAGUUGUGAUCAAUUUCUGAACGAAUCUAGCUUCCUAAUGAAAGCAUUAAGAUGCUGGACUCAUUGAAUUAAUUUCAUUGCUUUCAGAGAACCUUGACAACUGCAUAGAUUAUUUUUAAAGACAAUAAGCAUCUUUAAUGAUGCAGAUUUAUUAUUUGUGCAAAUGCAUUAAAUAACAAUUCUAUUAAGCUGAUGCUUCAAUUAUGAAGUUAUUGGUCAAGCUACAA
rnacentral:misc_RNA from 1 species